ACCCUUAUUCUUUUCCUAUUUCCUCGUAACUUUUCAACUUUCUCUAUUCACCAACUAAUUCAACGAUUCAUCUCUUUUUCUUUCAUUUCAUUUUACGCAUUCUUUCUUUCAAACCAAAAUCGUGAAAAAUCAAAACCCUAAAAAUUCAACAUCGUGAAAAUCAACUACAUCCAUUGUGUUCGUGAGUGACAAACCAAUAUGUAAAAUCAAUUGUGUUCAUGUUUCUGAUUCACCGGUACGGAAGAUCGACGGAGCUCCAUUGCAAGCUGCUAGUGCUUCGAAGAUCGACGGAGCUCAAUCUUAUCUUCUUGUAAAAUCACUACACAGGAUUAUAUAGUCGAUAGAUGCAAGAGUAUUUUAUUAUUUGUAGUCACAUGAACUUCAAAGGGAUUUGCGCCCCGAUGAGUUAUUUCUAAAAACGCACAAGAGGAAAAAUGGUGAAUGGGUUGACAAGCGUGCUGCAUCUACUUACACUGCUUUCAAAGAGAAAUUUGAUGCAGAACUUCAAUCAACUGAAGAAGGGAAUGAAGAUGAAGUUCAAGUGUUAGAUGGAGGUCGUGUAAAUCAGCUAUGGACAGAAGCUGCUGGGGGCCGUAGCCGUGGCCGGGUUUAUGGCACGGCGGAUUUUGCUGUUAAUCUUAAACGUGGAUCAAAAACUUUUACCCAACAAUCUCAAACUCCUCACCACUCUAUGUUUGGGAUUCCAUUAGAAGCUAAAAGAGCAGCUAGAAUUAAAGCUGAGCAAAUGGCCGAGGCUGCAACGGCCCAAUUACAAGAGGCUCACAAAGUUCUUUUAGCAUCAAAAGAAGAAUGUCGAGCUGCUACCGAGGCUGCUAAAGCUGCUACUGAUGCUGCUCAGAGGAUGGAGAGGGAAAUGAUGGCUUUGAAGGAAUUUAUGAUGAAGAAAUUUGACACUACAACUAGCAGAUCACAUCAUCAUUAUGAUGAUGAUUUAGACGAUCAGUCAUUAGAUGAAAAUUGAUCGUGUACUGUUAUUAGAAUGAAUUAGUCUCGGAUGUGAUAACUUUUUGUGUAUGUUUUUUGGGACAUGAUUUUGAAUGUCUUCCGAGUUAUUAGGGGAUGUUUUUGUUGUAGCUACGACUACUUUAUUUUGCAAUAUUAGGAGAAUGUGCUACUUUUCAGUCUACUUUUUUAUGAGGAAGGUUGUAUAACUUUUUGAAAUGACAAAUGUUAGUGGUUGUUAAUUGUAUGACUUUUUUCAUCAGAUCGUUUAACAACAACAAUGAAUCUCAAAGUUGAUUCCUUAAAGGUUUGUUUCAAAUAAACAUUUUUAUGACUUGUUUCUAUCUGCAGAAACUCUUGAGGUGAUAAUGAAGAAGUGAAGGAACUCACACAACCCAAAAUGAAGCUUACAAUGGGCUGGGGCUGUUGGAGCUCUAUAUGGUUCUCUUCAUGGUGAAGCUUAUGAGGAUAUGCUUAAAAAGAGGAGUUUGAGCUAUAAUGGUGGACCAAUUCCCAUUCCCCUUCAUUGCUGAUAAUGUGCAAAGAAUUUGCGUAUGUGAUGCAGUCUUUAAGAUUUUCAUUUGUUUAUUUUCAAUUGCACUUAUGGUGGUAAACUUUAUAUUUUUUUGAUAUGGAACUUCUUGAUUUGAUUUUUAAAGUAUCAUUUUGUUUUUACAAAUAUAAGAUUCCCUUAGCUCUGUUCCGUAUUUGUUGAAACGUACAAGCGAUUUAGCAUUUAACAUAUUAAAAUUGGAAUGUGUUAAAAUAUUAAAUGCAUGACUAACUAAAAAUAAUUUCCUAGACACAUACACACAGACAAAGAUCAAUUCUUUGGUGCUUCUAUAAGUUUGAUGGUGGUAACUUUUUUUGUGUAGGUGAAGGGAUGCUUAAUGAUUGAUUAAUCUUUAUUUACCAACUUGAAGUUCGUGUAAAAAUCUAAGGUUAUUAUUAUUGAUUACUGGAUUUGAUCCUUGUAUACAUUCAACAUCUUGAGAUAAAUUGUAGUAUUGUCUGGAAUGUAGAUAGUGUAGCUUCCAUCAACAUUUUGUAAUAAUUUAAUCAAAGCCAUUGUUUGAUGGUCUAGAAGGUAAAUUGAUUGAGCAACCAUGAAAAUGGGAUUUUAUGUUAAAAGGAGAAGAAGCUGCCACUUCUUUUGCUUACGGUAAGAGAAAGAGAUGCCUUAGUUUGAAUGUUGAAUCAAGUUUAUGGAUCUGCAUUUUUCAUUUGCAUCUUAUUAAUAUAUAUUACAUGUGAUAAGCGACUUAAGAAAUAUCAUCUUAAUCAUAAGUCAAUGAGGGCAACUACUCUAGAUUUUGAUCCAGAUAAAUGUUAUGGAAUAUAAAUAAAUUGUACAUCAUUAAAUAAAAAUAGAAUACUAUGGUCUCUGAAUAAUUAA